UCGAGGGAGAAGCCUUUUGGCUGAAACCGGCGCACGGGUGCGUAACGCGUAUACAAUCUGCCUUUCACUGGGGGAUAGCCCGAAGAAAUUUGGAUUAAUACCCCAUAGUAUAGGAUAGUGGCAUCACUAACCUAUUAAAGCUGCGGUGGUGAAAGAUGAGUAUGCGUUCUAUUAGCUAGUUGGAGAGGUAACGGCUCCCCAAGGCGACGAUAGAUAGGGGUUCUGAGAGGGAUGUCCCCCACACUGGUACUGAGAUACGGACCAGACUCCUACGGGAGGCAGCAGUGAGGAAUAUUGGACAAUGGUCGGAAGACUGAUCCAGCCAUGCCGCGUGCGGGAUGACGGCCCUAUGGGUUGUAAACUGCUUUUGUAAGGGAAGAAUAAGGGCUACGUGUAGUCUGAUGACGGUACCUUACGAAUAAGCAUCGGCUAACUCCGUGCCAGCAGCCGCGGUAAUACGGAGGAUGCGAGCGUUAUCCGGAAUCAUUGGGUUUAAAGGGUCCGUAGGCGGGCUUGUAAGUCAGAGGUGAAAGCGCUCAGCUCAACUGAGCAACUGCCUUUGAAACUGCCGGUCUUGAAUGAUUGUGAAGUAGUUGGAAUGUGUAGUGUAGCGGUGAAAUGCUUAGAUAUUACACAGAACACCGAUAGCGAAGGCAUAUUACUAACAAUUGAUUGACGCUGAUGGACGAAAGCGUGGGGAGCGAACAGGAUUAGAUACCCUGGUAGUCCACGCUGUAAACGAUGGAUACUAGCUGUUUGGGAGCAAUUCUGAGUGGCUAAGCGAAAGUGAUAAGUAUCCCACCUGGGGAGUACGCACGCAAGUGUGAAACUCAAAGGAAUUGACGGGGGCCCGCACAAGCGGUGGAGCAUGUGGUUUAAUUCGAUGA
rnacentral:rRNA from 1 species